rnacentral:rRNA from 1 species
AUUGAACGCUGGCGGCAGGCUUAACACAUGCAAGUCGAGCGGGGUGAUGGUGCUUGCACUAUCACUUAGCGGCGGACGGGUGAGUAAUGCUUAGGAAUCUGCCUAUUAGUGGGGGACAACAUCUCGAAAGGGAUGCUAAUACCGCAUACGUCCUACGGGAGAAAGCAGGGGAUCACUUGUGACCUUGCGCUAAUAGAUGAGCCUAAGUCGGAUUAGCUAGUUGGUGGAGUAAAGGCCUACCAAGGCGACGAUCUGUAGCGGGUCUGAGAGGAUGAUCCGCCACACUGGGACUGAAACACGGCCCAGACUCCUACGGGAGGCAGCAGUGGGGAAUAUUGGACAAUGGGGGGAACCCUGAUCCAGCCAUGCCGCGUGUGUGAAGAAGGCCUUAUGGUUGUAAAGCACUUUAAGCGAGGAGGAGGCUCUUUUGGUUAAUACCCAAGAUGAGUGGACGUUACUCGCAGAAUAAGCACCGGCUAACUACGUGCCAGCAGCCGCCGUAA